AUUGAACGCUGGCGGCAUGCCUUACACAUGCAAGUCGAACGGUAACAGGUUAAGCUGACGUGUGGCGAACGGGUGAGUAAUGUAUCGGAACGUGCCCAGUCGUGGGGGAUAACUGCUCGAAAGAGCAGCUAAUACCGCAUACGACCUGAGGGUGAAAGCGGGGGAUCGCAAGACCUCGCGCGAUUGGAGCGGCCGAUAUCAGAUUAGGUAGUUGGUGAGGUAAAGGCUCACCAAGCCGACGAUCUGUAGCUGGUCUGAGAGGACGACCAGCCACACUGGGACUGAGACACGGCCCAGACUCCUACGGGAGGCAGCAGUGGGGAAUUUUGGACAAUGGGCGCAAGCCUGAUCCAGCCAUGCCGCGUGCGGGAAGAAGGCCUUCGGGUUGUAAACCGCUUUUGUCAGGGAAGAAAAGGUUCUGGCUAAUACCUGGGACUCAUGACGGUACCUGAAGAAUAAGCACCGGCUAACUACGUG
rnacentral:rRNA from 1 species